rnacentral:rRNA from 1 species
GAUGAACGCUAGCUACAGGCUUAACACAUGCAAGUCGAGGGGCAGCAGGGAUUUAGCUUGCUAAAUUCGCUGGCGACCGGCGCACGGGUGCGUAACGCGUAUCCAACUUUCCCGUUACUCUCGGAUAGCCUUCCGAAAGGGAGAUUAAUACGAGAUGGUGUUUUAAUUUCGCAUGUUAUUAGAACUAAAGAUUCAUCGGUAACGGAUAGGGAUGCGUGACAUUAGAUAGUUGGCGGGGUAACGGCCCACCAAGUCCACGAUGUCUAGGGGUUCUGAGAGGAAGGUCCCCCACACUGGAACUGAGACACGGUCCAGACUCCUACGGGAGGCAGCAGUGAGGAAUAUUGGUCAAUGGCCGAGAGGCUGAACCAGCCAAGUAGCGUGAAGGAUGAAGGUUCUAUGGAUUGUAAACCUCUUUUAUACGGGAAUAACAUCACCUACGUGUAGGUGCCUGCAUGUACCGUAUGAAUAAGCAUCGGCUAACUCCGUGCCAGCAGCCG